AAUUCUCAAAAACCCUUUUCUUCUGGAAAAGGUUUUUUGGACUUGGAGGUUCAAUGCUCGCUUUCACUUUUGAAGGUGAGCUCCUCUCAAAUGAAUUAGUGGGGUCUGCUUUGCCGAUCCUUGACGUGAUAAGAUGUUUCUACGUUUUGGAUUUGGCACUGUCUCUUGGACACCUGCUCCUAACCGUCUCAUGGACAAAUGAUGGUGCUUCGGUCACUGCCAUCUACAUUGGCGGGAGGCUGGGCCCACGGAAAAAC
rnacentral:misc_RNA from 1 species